ACUUGCCCUGGAUAGGGCGGGACACUUUCGGCUGUUACGGUCUCUUCCGCCUGCCGCCGGCUGGGAUGGUGGCUGUGCUGGUGGUCCCUGCCAAAAGCAUGCACGAGGGAGGAAAGCCCAGCUCCAGCCGGAGAGGCCAGCAGCACCCUGCUGAUCCUGGGUGCCGCAUCUCUUUCCAUUUGGAAAUCCAGGAUGAGGCUUUUGGAUGAGAUUAUCCCUCCCACUAACUGCCCAUGAGUCUCUAACGAAGGAGGUGAAAAUUCCUUUGAUCAGCCCUGUUUGUCUGCUCAUCUGCACAAUGGAUGCAAUGUGUCUUCCACCCAAUGAUCCUGCACUAAAGAAAGUGCCUGUCUCAAGCCAGGGGCUGGUAACUUUGACUGCAAGCUGGAUUUGAAGGCGUGAUCGAUUUUUGCCGGAGGUCCUUGUAACAUGUGCAUGGUUCCCUGAUCUGAAAUGAAUUGGACAAUGGAUCCAAAGAUAACAGAACUCCUCUAGGCUUGGAGCAGGGCUGGCUGGAGAGAGAGAGAACUUUCGACCAAGGAGGUUUUAUCUUUCAGAAAUAAAUAAUCAAAAAU